rnacentral:rRNA from 1 species
AUUGAACGCUGGCGGCAUGCCUAACACAUGCAAGUCGAGCGAGAGGCGGACGGGUGAGCAAUGUAGGGGGACUGCCCGAUCGAGGGGGAUAACUACUGGAAACGGUAGCUACUAUCGCAUACUAUCGGAUGACCCAUAUGGGAUUAGCUAGUCGGUGGGGUAAUGGCUCACCUAGGCGACGACCCCUAGCUGGUCUGAGAGGAUGAUCAGCCACACUGGGACUGAGACACGGCCCAGACUCCUACGGAGGCAGCAGUGGGGAAUAUUGCAAAAUGGGCGCAAGCCUGAUGCAGCCAUGCCGCGGGUAUGAAGAAGUCCCUGGGGUUGUAAAGUACUUUCAGUCGGGAGGCGUUACCGACAGAAGAAGCACCGGCUAACUCCGUGCCAGCAGCCGCGGUAAUUC